CCCCGGAUACUUCUACAACUAACCUGCUUGGUGUCUGAUGCUGAUGCAGUCUGGGCACUAGUAUCUGUUGGCUUGCUGACUAUCACUGACGAUGAAGUACUUCUCCAAAUCUUGACCCAGUGUCUUCUGCCAUCAUUGUUCAGGGUAGUACUGCAAAGAAUAGUCUCCAGGGUCUGCCUCCAACAUUUGCUUCCCGACCACCAUGUGCUACGCUUGCAUCACUACAUGUGGGUUACCCUGAUACUGUGAAGAAAACCUACAAUAUGAUGCUUGACUUGGGACAGAAAAAAAAACAUUGGCAACUUGUGUGGCCAACUCAUUGCCGUAUUUAAAAUCAUUGUACUGCUACCUCCAUUGUUUAACAUAACUAAAAGCAGAUUGUUUUUGCUUUGUUUCAAAAUUUUUGUAAUACGAGUUAAAACUACAUUGAAAAAAAUAUAUCAUCUUUAACUUUGAACUGUCACUACAUUUGAUUUAGGGUAAUUAUGUGUGUGAAGAAUAGAACAUUGUUGUCAUGAAUUUGUAAUAGAUUUUUGAAGUAUUUAAGUUACUAGAGUAAUGGUAACUUUUUUUUUUUAAAGGCAAUUGGUCAAAACUAGAUUUCUGUUCAAGUAAAUACAACUUAGAAAUUCCAAGUUGCAGGAAAUGUUACUUGAUUUAGCUAAAUUUAAAUGAGUUGUUUGAAAUACGUACAUAGUAUAAUGUACUUAAUUUAGUUGUUGGAAAUAGUAAUUCUGAGUUACACGUUUACAACACUUAUAAAUAAACCUUUGUUAGUACAAAUUACUAUUCUUAUUUCACUUUACUUGUUUUUUUUUAAGGUUUACUCAUUAUAAUUUACAGUGCAGACAAGCACAUGCCCAGUGCACACUAGUGAGAUAAAUUCAAAACACUGUAAUUGUAAUAAAGUACUGUAACUAUACUGUACUACACUGUGUGAUUCUUUCAGCUCUCUCUCCAGUGCUAGGAUGCAUUUUUAAAGCAGUCACCUGUGCUACUGAAUGCUUGCUUAUGGAUAAUUGUGUGUUAUUUGAGUUCAUACUGUGACAAUAGAGUUAACUAUUUGA